rnacentral:rRNA from 1 species
ACCCGCUGAAUUUAAGCAUAUUAAUAAGCGGAGGAAAAGAAACUAACAAGGAUUCCCUCAGUAACGGCGAGCGAAGCGGGAAAGCUCAAAUUUGAAAUCUCCGCGAAUUGUAGUCUGUAGGGCCAGUCGCCCGAACGGUGUCCCCAAAGUCGUCCUGGAAAGGCGGGCCAAAGAGGGUGAGAGCCCCGUGCGCGGGGGCACCGUCGGAGGUGAUCUGUGCCCGAAGAGUCGGGUUGUUUGGGAUUGCAGCCCAAAACGGGUGGUAAACUCCAUCUAAAGCUAAAUACUGGCACGAGACCGAUAGCGAACAAGUACCGUGAGGGAAAGAUGAAAAGCACUUUG